rnacentral:lncRNA from 1 species
UGACUUUUUUCCAUGCAAUUAGAGACAGCAAAUAAUCUUUUCCACAUCAUUAAUUAGCAAGAACUUGGGGCCGUAAGAAAGCACAAACAGCAUGAGUUAGGUUCAAAACGCAUCAAACCUCUGCCAGCAUAAAAUCAAAAGACUAUAGCUGUGCUCGGUUUUGGAAAAUAGAAAGAUAAGGUAGGGUCCAUUACUCUUUUGCUUUCGUGAGGAGAAGAAAUUAGGGUUUAUUACCCGAAGCUGAAAGGAUAAAGAACACGAAAAGGAGGAUAAAGAAGGCCUUCGAGUUCACAACCUUUGCCAUGCUUUCUCACAAAAACAAAACUAGUUGAAGUGUAAAAUGAAUAUGAGGGUAAUGUGGGUAACUAUUCGUGAACAGGACUGCGUGUGGCUUUGGGCAAAUGCAGGGUACCCUAUUUAUAGCCGAGAGAAAAUUUCCCUGGAAUUUUCUGGAAAAUAUUUGGAUAAUUAUAAAAAAAAUAGCCAAGGCUCAAGCGACAAAAAUAAAUAAAUAGUCAAGGGAAAAAAACUGCUUGGUCAAGAAAUUAAGCUUGACUUUCAAAUCGUACUGCAUUGGAGUGAACUUUACUUUUUCUUAUUUAUUUUUUGAACAAUUGUUUCAUGCAGAGUUGACUGCAUUUCUAUAAUAUGCUGUCUAGAGGUAUAAAGCAUCAAUUUUAAAGAUGAAUGCAAUAGGUGGUUCAUUUAAAAACAAUUGUGAUUAACAGUUCAAAUGUUUUAAUAAUAUAAUUAUUAGUUUUAGUUUUUAAUAUAUAUAUAUUUUUUCAUGUUCAUGAUCUCCAUGUUAAAGAUUAUAUAUUCUCUAAAAAAUAGAAUCAAAUUAUAUUUAAAAAAUAUAUUUAUUGCCAAGCUCGCAUUUUUACUAUAUGAGGAUUGGCUGUAUCCCAACAGAGUCUUUAUUUUUUAUUUUUUGUGAAACUUGGAUUGUAGCUUUGGCGUUUGAAGAGUUGUGACACUUUUAGCUUUCCUUGCUUUGCCAGCGUGAACCAAUUAUUUCG